rnacentral:rRNA from 1 species
GUUUUUAACCUACUAAGACUUCCAUAAUUAAUAGUACUAUUAGUGAAGAUGAGUUUACUUUUGAGUUCAAAAAAGGAUCAAGUAAUUGCUUAGCCUCACUUCUUAAGUUAAAAAG